rnacentral:sRNA from 1 species
AUGUCGAAGGGAAAGGUUUUGCUGGUUCUUUACGAAGGUGGUAAGCAUGCUGAAGAGCAGGAAAAGUUAUUGGGGUGUAUUGAAAAUGAACUUGGUAUCAGAAAUUUCAUUGAAGAACAGGGAUACGAGUUGGUUACUACCAUUGACAAGGACCCUGAGCCAACCUCAACGGUAGACAGGGAGUUGAAAGACGCUGAAAUUGUCAUUACUACGCCCUUUUUCCCCGCCUACAUCUCGAGAAACAGGAUUGCAGAAGCUCCUAACCUGAAGCUCUGUGUAACCGCUGGCGUCGGUUCAGACCAUGUCGAUUUAGAAGCUGCAAAUGAACGGAAAAUCACGGUCACCGAAGUUACUGGUUCUAACGUCGUUUCUGUCGCAGAGCACGUUAUGGCCACAAUUUUGGUUUUGAUAAGAAACUAUAAUGGUGGUCACCAACAA